UGAAAGGAGAUAAAUUAGUAACAUUGAAAGUAGAAGAGAUAUUCAUCUCACACUUGAUAGUUCAAUUUUGUAAGCAUUAUCGUUGAUCUUUUCUAGCAAUCAAAAGGGACCAUCUCCUCGCGAUGCAAGCUUUGACUUUCUCAGGUUUGGGAAUCUUUCAUGUCUCAUGUGUAUGCUUCUAUUGUUAUCAACUCUCUCAUACACCCC
rnacentral:lncRNA from 1 species